ensembl:snRNA U6 U6 spliceosomal RNA
GUGCUCAUUUCGGAAGCACAUAUAUUACAUUUGGAAUAAUACAAAGAUUAGCAUGACCCCUACCUAGACAAGAAUGACACAUUUGUAAACUGUUCCACAUUUUU